GGCAAUCUCAGAGACCCCCAUGGCUUUCUUGCAGCAAGUCUCCUUCUCAAGGUCUCUCCUGGAGAACUGAGAGAGAAUUCAGGUUCACAUACAUGAGUGUGAGGAGCUGUCUCUUUGGAGUUUUCUCCUUUCCCACUACUGAUAUUGCUAGAAAACAGACAUCCCUGUUGAGAAGGAUUUUGCACAAUAAUAGUACAACCCAUCAAAGACACCAUUCAAAGCCUGCUGCUUGUGCUCUCCCUGCCACUGAGGAUGACCAGCCAGACCCAGGGGAGGAUGAGCAAGAGGAUGCUGGAGAGAAGCUGUCCUUGAGAGCCAGGAUCUUUUUGAGAUGUGGGACCCUGACACCGGCCAGCUGGUAAGCCAGCCCCAGUCCUGCCCUGCUGCAACAGAUCAUAAAUCCUGCCCUGCAUCAGCUGAGCCUGGAUCCCAUCCAGAAACCCAGAGUGGGAUCAAAGAGACCGAUCCCAUGGCGGGAACUUCAGCAUCCACAGCACCUGUAGCGGCCAGACUGUCGUGGACAGGGCCUCUUUGUACUGCUGAGAGGCUGGCCAAACUGAGGGGGCAAGAAAGGAAGACUUGGGAUGAGAUGUUUGUAGAGCUCAUGACAGAUUCCCAGAGGCAAACCAGCCUGGUUGAGAGGUGAAGGCUGUACAUGAAAACCGAGAGAGAGAAAGAAAUGCAGCUCUCUCAGGUGAGCAUUGGCAGACGGAAAGGAAGCGGCAAUUCAUGGAUGCCAGAGUACCCUCCUGCAAAACAUGCUCCUGAGUCCUGCUAGGCCAACAGGUCUUGCAAUCCCAUAAUCUAGGACCCAGGCAUGUCCUUCAGUCCCUGGACAAAACUGGCUAAUGGGGCCAGCAACAAUUCCUCUCUGCCAUCCCCACACAGCCAUCCUACCGGCAGCCAUUCCUCUCUCAGAACCAGCCUCUAGGCCCUGAGAAUGCUGGCUCUUGGGAACCCAGCACUUUUGAGCCUAGCAGUGCCUCUGACAAUUUUGAACCCCGGCACUCAACCCCAGACCCAUUUUGGAUAAGAAGAGGCAGAGGGAAGGUGUAUAUUUACCUGUGACUUUAAGGCCACCGUCCGCUCUACACACACACACUUUAUUCUGUUUGCAGUGUUAGUAUUGUUACAUUUCCAGUGUUGUUUGCACUGUUGCUUUUAUUGAAAGCUUGUUUAUAGUUGGCUAGUUAGUAGAUUUUUCAGUUAAAUGUAUUUUCAAAUAUAAAAACCUAGUUAUU